rnacentral:lncRNA from 1 species
GAUAUAGUGUGUCCAACUAAUUAAAUUAUUUUUUAAAAAAUUCAUUUAUUCUAGCAUAUUUUUUAGGGUGCGUUUGGUUCGCGCUAUCUUUUAAAAAUUUCUAGUAAUCCAAUAGGAAUAAAAAAAUAUGACGGUGUUUGGCUAAACGCACUAAGUAAUCUAGUUGGUAAUAUUGGAUUCACUUGGGAAUAAGAUUCACCCCAAAGUACUAAUCUCAUUCUCUUGAGGGAGGAUGGGUAUCCUCAUAUUAAUGGAUUGGGAUAAUUAUAAUAUAUCUAAUCUCUUUCUUUCUUCCUACCCGCCAGCUAAUUGAUAUUAUUUUUCUUUACACUCUAACCUUAUAUCUCUCUCUAAAUUUAUUUUUCUCUCUAAAAUUCAACAUUUUUUUUCUCUCUCUAAACUAAGCUCUCUCUCUCUCUCUCUUUCUAAAAUUUCAACUCUCUCACUCCCUCUAAUUUUGACUAUAUUUUUCUUUCUAUUUUUUUAAUUAUGCUCUAUCUCUAACUUAUACUCUCUCCCUUUUUUCUAAAAAGAUAUUGAAACUUUUGGUAACAUUAUCUAAAAUUAAAUAAAUAAAUAAAUAAAUAAAUUGUAUAUUUUUUGUAAUAUUAAAUAACAUGGCUAAUUAAUAUUACCGUGCGAACCAAAUACAGGAAUUCCACAUUCUUAGUAAUAGGAUGAAUAGAAAUAAGAUUCUCGGAUAUCUUUUAUUUCUAGUAAUCUUUCAUAAUGCGAACCAAACGGACCCUUAGAAAAAUAUUUUUAAUAUAUUUUUCUCCAACAUUAAUGAGAAUCACGAUUUGUUGAACAUAAAUAAUGUGGUAUAGCUGCUGUAUUGUAGACUUUCUUCGCGACAACACAAACAUCUUAUCUAAAUCUCUCCUUCUUCUCUGCCUCUGCUUUCAAAAAGAAAUUUCGGAAGAGAGUGCCAAAGAGAUAAAUUUGGAAAUAGAAAAUGAUAAAAAUGCUUUCGGUAAAAUAACAAAAUAGUCAUAACACUCAAAUUUGAAACCUAGCUAGUUAGUUUAUAUUUUCAAUUAAAAUUUUCUCUCUUUUUUUCGAGAAAGAAAGGCCAGUAGCAUGUUAUACUCUAUAUUUUUUUAAAAAAAAUAAAUUUAGCUAAAAAUAUACAGCAACUAGAGCUAAGUUUUUUUUUAAAAAAAAAAAACUUAAUUGACAAUUUGCAGCAACCGUUAUUAGACUUCAAACUUGAAAUUUUGGAUAGUAACUAUCAAGCUCUUUGCCGUUAGCUCUGUGAACGGCAGAUAGCUAAGUUUAUUUCUAAAAAAAUAAAAAUGAGGUGCAUAGAAUGUUACGGGAUUAAGAAGAAAUUGUAUAUGAAUAUCAUAUUUUAUUUUUCAGUGAAACUAAGUAAAUAUAUGUUCUAAUUGACUAAUUGCAAUAUGCAAAAUGUGAUGUUAUAU